NNCUGUCCGUCUUAUAUGAAAUUUUUUUAUAAUUAGUAUUUUCAUUGUUGGUAGAUGAUAAAACAUGAUUAAUACUUUAUGCAUGACUUGUCUUUUUAAUUUUUUUCAUAAUUUUUUAAACAAGACGGACGAUCAAAUAUUGGACACGGAAAAGUAGGG
rnacentral:pre_miRNA from 1 species